UACAGAGGUGGCAAGCGUUGUUCGGAAUUACUGGGCGUAAAGGGCGCGUAGGCGGCUCGACAAGUCCCGCGUGAAAGCCCCCGGCUCAACUGGGGAACUGCGCGGGAAACUGUCGGACUUGAGUUCGGGAGAGGGAAGCGGAAUUCCGGGUGUAGCGGUGAAAUGCGUAGAUAUCCGGAGGAACACCGGUGGCGAAGGCGGCUUCCUGGACCGACACUGACGCUGAGGCGCGAAAGCUAGGGGAGCGAACGGG
rnacentral:rRNA from 1 species